GAUGAACGCUAGCGGGAGGCUUAACACAUGCAAGUCGUGGGGCAGCACGGUGUAGCAAUACACUGGUGGCGACCGGCGCACGGGUGAGUAACGCGUAUGCAACCUGCCCUGUACAGGGGGAUAGCCCGGAGAAAUUCGGAUUAAUACCCCAUAAAGAUAUCGAGCGGCAUCUUUUAAUAUUUAAAGCUUCGGCGGUACGGGAUGGGCAUGCGUGACAUUAGCUAGUUGGUAGGGUAACGGCCUACCAAGGCUUCGAUGUCUAGGGGUCCUGAGAGGGUGAUCCCCCACACUGGUACUGAGACACGGACCAGACUCCUACGGGAGGCAGCAGUGAGGAAUAUUGGUCAAUGGGCGACAGCCUGAACCAGCCAUCCCGCGUGAAGGAAGAAGGCGCUAUGCGUUGUAAACUUCUUUUCCAGAGGAAUAAAAUUUUGUACGAGUACGGAACUGAAGGUACUCUGGGAAUAAGCAUCGGCUAACUCCGUGCCAGCAGCCGCGGUAAAAC
rnacentral:rRNA from 1 species